rnacentral:rRNA from 1 species
GACAGAGGAUGCAAGCGUUAUCCGGAAUGAUUGGGCGUAAAGCGUCUGUAGGUGGCUUUUUAAGUCCGCCGUCAAAUCCCAGGGCUCAACUCUGGACAGGCGGUGGAAACUACCAAGCUGGAGUACGGUAGGGGCAGAGGGAAUUUCCGGUGGAGCGGUGAAAUGCGUAGAGAUCGGGAGGAACACCAGAGGCGAAGGCGGCAAGCUGGAUGGGCACUGACACUCAACUACGAAAGCGUGGGGAGCAAACAGG